rnacentral:rRNA from 1 species
GGAGCUUGCUCCACCGGAAAAAGAAGAGUGGCGAACGGGUGAGUAACACGUGGGUAACCUGCCCAUCAGAAGGGGAUAACACUUGGAAACAGGUGCUAAUACCGUAUAACAAUCGAAACCGCAUGGUUUUGAUUUGAAAGGCGCUUUCGGGUGUCGCUGAUGGAUGGACCCGCGGUGCAUUAGCUAGUUGGUGAGGUAACGGCUCACCAAGGCCACGAUGCAUAGCCGACCUGAGAGGGUGAUCGGCCACAUUGGGACUGAGACACGGCCCAAACUCCUACGGGAGGCAGCAGUAGGGAAUCUUCGGCAAUGGACGAAAGUCUGACCGAGCAACGCCGCGUGAGUGAAGAAGGUUUUCGGAUCGUAAAACUCUGUUGUUAGAGAAGAACAAGGAUGAGAGUAACUGUUCAUCCCUUGACGGUAUCUAACCAGAAAGCCACGGCUAACUACGUGCCAGCAGCCGCGGUAAUACGUAGGUGGCAAGCGUUGUCCGGAUUUAUUGGGCGUAAAGCGAGCGCAGGCGGUUUCUUAAGUCUGAUGUGAAAGCCCCCGG